ensembl:snRNA U6 U6 spliceosomal RNA
GUGCUUACUUCAGCACAUAUACUAAAAUUGAAAAGAUACAGAGAUUAGCACAGCCUGUGCAAGGAUGACACACAAACUUACGAAAAAAGACCCUGGGUU